GACGAACGCUGGCGGCGUGCCUAAUACAUGCAAGUAGAACGCACAGUUUAUACCGUAGCUUGCUACACCAUAGACUGUGAGUUGCGAACGGGUGAGUAACGCGUAGGUAACCUGCCUGGUAGCGGGGGAUAACUAUUGGAAACGAUAGCUAAUACCGCAUAAUAUUAAUUAUUGCAUGAUAAUUAAUUGAAAGGUGCAGUUGCACCACUACCAGAUGGACCUGCGUUGUAUUAGCUAGUAGGUGAGGUAACGGCUCGCCUAGGCGACGAUACAUAGCCGACCUGAGAGGGUGAUCGGCCACACUGGGACUGAGACACGGCCCAGACUCCUACGGGAGGCAGCAGUAGGGAAUCUUCGGCAAUGGACGAAAGUCUGACCGAGCAACGCCGCGUGAGUGAAGAAGGUUUUCGGAUCGUAAAGCUCUGUUGUAAGAGAAGAACGGGUGUGAGAGUGGAAAGUUCACACUGUGACGGUAUCUUACCAGAAAGGGACGGCUAACUACGUG
rnacentral:rRNA from 1 species